UACUGGUUAUGGUUCCACGUUUACCGUGGAUGAAAAGGGAACCCGGUGAGAAUCCGGGACAGCUCACUCUACUGUAUGGGCUACGAAACGCGAAUCGGUCACUGCGUCAGCGGGAAGGCACGCGGAGUAGGCUGGAAGCUCUAAGUCAGGAGACCUGCCAUAAAC
rnacentral:ncRNA from 1 species